rnacentral:rRNA from 1 species
GUCCACGCCUUAAACGAUGGAUGCUCGAUGUCGGCCCGCAAGGGUCGGUGUCCAAGCUAACGCAUUAAGCAUCCCACCUGGGAAGUACGAUCGCAAGGUUGAAACUCAAAGGAAUUGACGGGGGCCCGCACAAGCAGUGGAGCAUGUGGUUUAAUUCGAUGCAACGCGAAGAACCUUACCUGGGUUUGAAAGGCAAGUGACAACCGAUGAAAGUCGGUCUCCCCGCAAGGGGCACUUGUACAGGUGCUGCAUGGCUGUCGU